rnacentral:tRNA from 3 species
UCCUCGAUAGCUCAGUGGUAGAGCAACCGGCUGUUAACCGGUAGGUCGUUGGUUCGAAUCCAACUCGAGGAGCCA